CUGGAACUGUGUCCGCAAGGACACAACCCCAGAUACCCUUUGUGAACUUAUACCUUUAAUCGUUGCCUCGGCGCUGAGCUGGGAGCCCUUCUUGGGGCUCUCCCAUUUUACCUUGUGUGAGAUGGAGCAAGCCCGCCGGCGGCCCAUUAAACUCUUGUAUUUUAUACUGUAUCUCUUCUGAGUUAUUCAAAAACAAAUGAAUCA
rnacentral:misc_RNA from 1 species